rnacentral:rRNA from 1 species
UACGGAGGUUGCAAGCGUUAUCCGGAUUUAUUGGGUUUAAAGGGUGCGUAGGCGGAAUGGUAAGUCAGUGGUGAAAGCCUGUAGCUUAACUAUAGAAUUGCCAUUGAUACUGUCAUUCUUGAGUGUAGUUGAGGUAGGCGGAAUGUGUAAUGUAGCGGUGAAAUGCUUAGAUAUUACACAGAACUCCAAUUGCGUAGGCAGCUUACUAAACUAUAACUGACGCUGAGGCACGAAAGCGUGGGGAGCAAAC